rnacentral:rRNA from 1 species
GACGAACGCUGGCGGCGUGCUUAACACAUGCAAGUCGAACGGAAAGGCCCUGCUUUUGUGGGGUGCUCGAGUGGCGAACGGGUGAGUAACACGUGAGUAACCUGCCCUUGACUUUGGGAUAACUUCAGGAAACUGGGGCUAAUACCGGAUAGGAGCUCCUGCUGCAUGGUGGGGGUUGGAAAGUUUCGGCGGUUGGGGAUGGACUGGCGGCUUAUCAGCUUGUUGGUGGGGUAGUGGCUUACCAAGGCUUUGACGGGUAGCCGGCCUGAGAGGGUGACCGGCCACAAUGGGACUGAGAGACGGCCCAGACGCGUACGGGAGGCAGCAGGGGGGAAUAUUGCACAAUGGGCGGAAGCCUGAUGAAGCAACGCCGCGUGCGGGAUGACGGCCUUCGGGUUGUAAACCGCUUUCGCCUGUGACGAAGCGGGAGUGACGGUAAUGGGUAAAGAAGCACCGGCUAACUACGUG